rnacentral:rRNA from 1 species
GCGGGCGAGGUUGCUUCGGUAACUGAGCUAGCGGCGGACGGGUGAGUAAUGCUUAGGAAUCUGCCUAUUAGUGGGGGACAACAUUCCGAAAGGAAUGCUAAUACCGCAUACGCCCUACGGGGGAAAGCAGGGGAUCUUCGGACCUUGCGCUAAUAGAUGAGCCUAAGUCAGAUUAGCUAGUUGGUGGGGUAAAGGCCUACCAAGGCGACGAUCUGUAGCGGGUCUGAGAGGAUGAUCCGCCACACUGGGACUGAGACACGGCCCAGACUCCUACGGGAGGCAGCAGUGGGGAAUAUUGGACAAUGGGCGCAAGCCUGAUCCAGCCAUGCCGCGUGUGUGAAGAAAGCCUUUUGGUUGUAUAGCACUUUAAGCGAGGAGGAGGCUACUUGGAUUAAUACUCUAGGAUAGUGGACGUUACUCGCAGAAUAAGCACCGGCUAACUCUGUGCCAGCAGCCGCGGUAAUACAGAGGGUGCGAGCGUUAAUCGGAUUUACUGGGCGUAAAGCGUGCGUAGGCGGCUUCUUAAGUCGGAUGUGAAAUCCCUGAGCUUAACUUAGGAAUUGCAUUCGAUACUGGGAAGCUAGAGUAUGGGAGAGGAUGGUAGAAUUCCAGGUGUAGCGGUGAAAUGCGUAGAGAUCUGGAGGAAUACCGAUGGCGAAAGCAGCCAUCUGGCCUAAUACUGACGCUGAGGUACGAAAGCAUGGGGAGCAAACAGGAUUAGAUACCCUGGUAGUCCAUG